GACAGAGGGUGCAAACGUUGUUCGGAAUUACUGGGCGUAAAGCGUGUGUAGGCGGCUUCGCAAGUCGGAUGUGAAAGCCCCGGGCUCAACCCGGGAAGUGCACUCGAUACUGCGGAGCUUGAGUGUCGGAGAGGUUGGUGGAAUUCUCGGUGUAGAGGUGAAAUUCGUAGAUAUCGAGAGGAACACCGGUGGCGAAGGCGGCCAACUGGACGAACACUGACGCUGAGACACGAAAGCGUGGGGAGCAAACAGG
rnacentral:rRNA from 1 species